rnacentral:lncRNA from 1 species
GUAUCAUAAGAGACUAAAAUAUCUAUUUUCAGAGACCAUCCAGCCUCUUCUACUCUCAUCAAUUUGCGUGUUUUCCUGCUUCCAGAAACCAUCUAGCAUCUUUUACUAUCAUUUGCGUGUUUGAUUAGAUCUCCGGUUCUCUCUCCCUCUCUCUCAUUUUAUAGUAUGUUCUCUUCUUAUUUUUUACUGUUAUGUUGUUCGUUUAGCUCGAUCCAGCCGACAAACUUCAGUUCGUGCUAGAUACAUGCUUCUUUGUGGAUUAGUUUGUUACUUUUUGUAAUUUUGCUUGAAGUUUUUUUCGUUUUCCUUGUGUGAGAUGUGAAAAGUUUGUUGGGUUACUCUUAAUUUACUUCAAUCUGCUCCGAAAGCCACAGAUUUUGCUCAAUGUAUUUUUUCCGAUUCCUGUUGUCUUUGACUAUAUUUAUUUUUUGGCUGUAGUUUGUACUAUAGUUCUAGCAUAUUUUUAGUUGAUUUUUGCUUAGUCUAGCUUGAUCUUGCUAAAAAAAUUCGAUUUUUGCUUAGUCUAGCUUGAUUUGCACCAGAAGUUUUAGUUCUUGCUUAAUAGAUUUGUUUUUUUUAUUGGAAACUGUUUAUUUGUGGUGGAUUAAUUUGGAAUUUUAUCUAUUUACUUACACUUUCUGAUAUAUUUUAUGGUUUAUUGCAGCUAUCGAAUCAAUUACUUCAUAAUAAUUGUGAUUAUUCUUGGUAAGACUGCUGAAGAUGGUGUUUCAUUCUCAUUUUAUAGAAGUUCGCACAUUUUGAGUGAACUAUAUGGUUCAAAAUUUAGAAGUAGUUUAAUAGCUUAUAAUGAAAUGGUUGGGUAUGGUAAAUAAAUAUUUCUUUCACCUAGGAAAUUAGUAACUACGAGUUUGAUUGUACUUUAAUAACCUAUUGGAGGAAUUAUGAUUUUUUUGAGCAUCUAUAUGGUUUUAUCAAGAUUUAUUCCCAUACAUUUCACAAUAUAUCUCCUUUUUCUUAUAGUUAAUCAUGCAUAUACGUGUAGAGCUAUGACGAUAAAGGACCUGUCAUAGAUGCUGUUGUAUGGCAUGAUGGAGAAGUUUGGAGGGCUGCUCUUGACACACACAGUUUUGAAGAUGAACCCGGAUGCGGGAAGCUUGCUAACUUUGUUCCUUUAACUAAUUUUAGGUAUUUAAGGCUUUUCUAGCAAUUCAAUUGACUGUCUUAAGUUAUUUAUAUUUGGGGCUCUUAGCUUGCAUCUUGGGGAAUGAGACAGAAUGCUUUUAGUUGGAAAUAAGCGAAAUUUCAAUGCUGUUUGGUUUGUGUUUUAGUUUUCAGUUUAUUUUUAGUUUUCUAUUUGAGGGUCCAUUUUAAGAUUGCUAAAAACGUGUUUGAUUUGUCAUUUUGAAAAAUUAUUUCUCAAAAUAGAAAAUCAUAAGGAUGUUUGGUUUGACAUUUUGAACAUUGUUUUAUGACAUUUUAUUCCAUUAUGUUUUGAUUAUUCGGUAAAAAUAGAAUAAUUUUAUGUUAAUAUAUUAUCAAGUAGCACAUACAUUUUAAAAUUAGUGAAUCUUACAAUAUUUUCUUCUCGCUAAAAUAGUAAAAUAAAAAUAAAUAAUAAAUUGAGUUCAAAAUAUAUGAAAUAAAAAAAUAAAAAUUAAUGAUAUGGACUAAGAAUAUUUUUAUUUGAGUUCAUUUAAAUAUUUUUUUAGAAUUUUUAUGUUAAAUUUAUUAAGAGCUUGAACUAUUUUUAUUUUUAUUUUAAUUUUUGUAAUUUUUAGCUUUCUACAAAUUUUUUUAAUUUUAAUUUUUCAGAAUUAUAUUUUUAUUUGAAAUUUAUAUCUUCUUGGAAUGUACAUCAAUUUUAAAUAUAGACUUAUCUUUUUUCCGUAAGUAUCAACCUUCGGUGGUUAAAAGGAAAACAUAUUUAUGAUUUUUUUUCUUUUUCGUAGUAUUUUCUUUACGAGAGUUUGGACUGUGUGAAGUUUAAUAAAUUCUUAAACUAGGGAGAAGUUUAUAUUCAUGUCAGAAUUAACCAUUGAAUCUGUGUCCAUUUUGGGAUCCGUUUUCUAUGAACAUAUUAAUAUAGUUAUAUCAGACUUUUAUUUUUUAAUGCUUUCACUUGUAUCAUGGAGUGUAAAGGUCGGUAGAAUUCGCAUUUCAAUCGACCACAUCACAUGUCCUCUUGAGAUGUUUUACAGCAUCUUCAUUGAUGAUCCUGGUGUCUUAAAUAAUUAAUGUCGCAGUUUUUGCAUGUACAAGUUCUGUCAUAUUAACUUAUAGACUGUUCAAUAUUUAAUUUGUGAUGGUACUAUUCUUUUUCAAUUAACCUCAGUUACUGUUAUAAUAAUUCCAGGGGUGAGGUGCACGUCUCACUGAUGAACCUUAUGGAUAAAUUAUUGUUUGCAUCAUAUGCAGAUAGCAGAUCCAGCUAGGUAAAGUUUUUUCACCAUUUUCACUUUGUUCAGCAUUUCUAGCUGUUUAUUUUCAUCUUGCAUAAGCAAACAUUGGAAUACAGUUCUUUGUCACGUGUGUUUUCAUUGUAUGCAAUAUCAUUAAGAUUAGAACACUAGGGAAUGACAUAUAUUAUCAUAUAAAAAAAAAUGAAUGGGCCCCUGGUUUAUAGUUUAACUGUAUACUUAUGUUGAAAACGGUCUUUGUAUUUAAUGAUUUUGCUUUUAGGAAAUUUUAUAGAUUUGGAUACAAUCAUGUUAUUGUUUCCAACUUUGAAUUCUAAGUGACAGGAACAUUCACGUUAGUCUUAAGUUCGGGUUCACUUGCAAUAAUAACUCUCAACUGAAAGCAUCUGUAAGUUUUAAGCAUUGAAAUUUGAAGUAAUCUUGCCUGGUUUACACCUUUACAUUUAUGUUGUAUUCUAUGGUUUUCAAGUUUGGGAAGCCUAUCAAAGUUAACUGGGCAUAUUGCAGUAGUUGGGAGGACACAUUAAGUAAAUCCAUAGAUUCAUCUUUUUCAGACUUGUGUUUUUUAGCCGCUUUUGUACUUCAUUUAGAGUUGUAUGAAUUUUUAAUUGUGAUAAUAUUUUAUCCAUUUUAUCUAGGACAGUUCACCAUUUUUGCUAGUUACUUUCAAACCAAUUCAUACUAUUUAUUUACAGAUUAUGAAAAAAAAAAAAAAGAAGGAAGAAGAAGAAGAAGUUAUUUUAAGCAUGUUCUUAAAAUAAAUAAAUAGAGUUAAUUAAAAUCAACAUUUUUCUUCUUCAAACUUUUAAUAAUAUUCUGGUAUUUUGCCAUCGAAAAGUAAUUAUGCAUCUUCUUUCCCUACCUAACAUGUAAUUAUUUAAUUGCUGCGAUAUACGUUUUUCUUAGUCUUUUUCAGAAUUGCUCAUCCAUCUACCAUAUAUUUCUUAUUCUGCAAAAUUCAUGAAUGGUUACAUGAUACCCUUAGUUACCACUCUAGCACUUGAUGCUAUUUUUAAUACAUUCAUUGGAGAUUCGAGGCUACUGUGCUAUUUACAAAUCACGGACAUAUUUGAAACAAAACUGUGCAUAUAUGUAGCUGAUGUUUACUAAUAUCCAAACCAUUUGUCAUACCUUCAUUUUUAGAAAUCCAUAGAUACUAUCCAUAUGAUGUUUUUAAUGUAUUCUUUUUGUUGCAUUUUUCUAUUCUAGAUUCAUAUUCGAAGAGACUUGACAGCCAUUAAAGUAAGUUGUCUUUACAUGUUAGUUGCUUCUAAAAAAUAUCAUUCAUCAUGUAAGAGGUAUUGUUGUUGGUUUUUGCUUGAUUCUAUUGUUUGAAGUCAUUUGUAGGAAUUGUCCAUUUGAUGGCUCUCGAGUUCCUUUUUUUUUUUUUUUUUUUUUUUUAGCAUCUUGAAAAUAAUAAAGCUUCUUGAUUUAUUAUUGAAAUUAAUAAAAAGCUAUAUUUUAUGGUUGGGGAAGGAAAUAAAAAGGAUAUAUGAUGUUUACAUAUUUUUAAUUUGUUUGUCUUAGGCCUUAUUCAUUAGCUAUUGGAGUAAUUAUAAUAAUUCACUUUUCCUCAAUUAUACUUGUCGACUGAAUCAAGAGGUCAUUAAUUUCAUAAUAGCGUUGGUAUAAAGUUGUGAUUUCCUGUAUUUUAAUGUGUGUGUGUUUGUACACUAUUUGCUGUUAUGUACUAGCAAUAAAACCUUAUAAGGAAGUAUAAUUUUAUAAAGUUAGUUACUUUUGUUUUGCGCAUGUUUUCUUCUUAGCUUUUAAUUUUUGGAAUUAAUGAAUUAAUCUAAUGUUCUUAAUUUUUGUUAGUGAUUUUCGUUCAUCUCAUAUAAUUUCAAGGGUUCCAUAUGAAUUCAUUGAUUCCAUGGAAUGUUAUAUUUAUUUUAAUUUUUUUGUUUCAGAUUGGAAGAUAUCGUUUCCGAAGUGAAAAUACUAAAAUUUUCGAUGUUAAUUAAACUGUGUUAUCUUCAGGUAUUUUAUUUAUUUUAAAUAUUUCCUUCAAUUUUAUUAGGUUCAUAGCUUGUUCUGUAUUUUUUUUCCAUGAAGUUUCUUUUAUAGUAUUUAUCAUUUAACUACUACUGUUACGUGUUUGCACAUUUGGGCAACCCAUCGGGACUCACAGUCAACUUAUGCUGAACCACGUGGCACUCAAGUCGAGGUGAUUUGCAUACCCGAGGCCCACAAUCGAGGUCCACAAAAGGUGAGGCCCAUCUAUCAUUGCCUCUUGAGGAGCUACCGAAGCCCAUAUGCCGAGGCCCUUUGAAGGUGGACGAGGCCCUGUUGGCCGAAGCUCUGUAACCGAGGUAGCAGCCUCCGAAUCAUAAAGCAGCAUCUUCCAUAGAUGCUUUUCCCAAGAGAUUCUCAGCACAAAGAUCUUAUUUGAAUGAUUGAUAGGACGUUUGUCAUGAGUGUAAAUGUUAAGUCUUAUCACUAGUAGAGGUGGCUCUGCCAAUCAAUAAAUGUAUAGCAGGCUAGGUGUGGUUGAGCUUACAGUUUGACAUGUAAAUUAACCGGAUGAGGCCACGUGUACCCCGAACCAAAGGUUACGAUCUAACUUGUGACACUAUAAAUGCUCCCCCAUGUACCCCAUACAAAGGCUAAUGCAAGAAUCAAUACAAAAAAUCAUACUUUACUCAACUCUCUAUUUCUUAAUAUCUUGCAACACAAACGAGUUCAUACAUAUUUGGAUACACGUUUACAAACAUCGAUUGGUAAUUAUUAUACAAUUAGUCAAUGAACAUCCCGUCAAAUUUCGAACGUUCUCGUCCCGCGUCG